AUAAAUGAACACAGUGGGCUUAACACACAAUGAAAGCCCAAUAUCUUUUCCAAAUAAUAACCUAUAAUAAUCAUGAAAAAGAAGUAAAACAAUAAUUUAAAAGAAAACAAAAUAAAAAGAAACAUAAACCAUUUCUAAUGGGAUCUAAACACUCCAAUUAACUUGUCUAAAAAAACAGAUAAUUUGAAACCCACCAAUAUUAACUGGGUAAAAAGAAUGAAA
rnacentral:lncRNA from 1 species